AUGGAGCCCCAGAGCAAGAUUCGCGACGAGGACGACAAGAUGGAAACCGGAGGGGAGCUUUCGACAGGAAGGAGCGGCGGCGAGUCCCUGAAUCUUGCCGCCGCAGUCGAGACCGAGUGGAGGAUCACCGGCGACUCCGACGAGAACUCGGUGUUCAUCCUGGAGGAGACCGUGCACAGAUUGGUUAGCGACAUCGUCAUGCCGGAAUUCGAAGCAAAGGUCGGCGACGUCGCUUCAGUGCUCGAAGCAGAGGAGACCCGGAAAGAGGCACUGGCGGCGCUGAGCUUCGGCUUCAGACUGCAGUUGUUCUCCGAGCAGAUCGAUGAGCUGCGGCACGAGAUGUGCAAGUUGCUGAGAUCGUUCUCGCCGGAAAACAAAGAUAUAAGGAGCACCAUGAUCAAAUUUAUCUCUGAGCCAUACCUAGGCCGUAUCUGCAAAUUGCAGUGGAUCUCUGAACGUGUCACCAUGGAGGAGUUGAAGGAGGAGGAGGAGGAGGAGGAGGAGGAGGGGAGCGGCAGGGAAGGAAUCGCCGGAGAAGGUCGUGGAGACCAAGAAGUUUCCAUGGAGAUGGAGGAGAAGAGAUUCGCUUCCUACCGCCGCUGCUGGGAACGUUUAUGGGGCAAUGACCGCAGCUUCGAAGACCAGACAUUAUUGAGCCCCAUGCUCUUUACACAUUGCACAGCAAGCCGCAUCCCGAAUGAAGCUGUCGCCGGGAGUACCUUGCAGAUCCACUCCAUCAAAAUCUCAACAGCAAAAGAGCUCACAUUGCCACUGGAGGUGUAUGGAGUGGUCGCAGUCCAAGAUGCUGUGGACCGUCAUCGCAACCCUCUAUUCCUUUGUUCAAGAACACAUUGCCAAAUCCUUGAAGGAAAUGAUUCAUUUUUGCGCUUGACUGGCCCGGUUCGUGCAAUUGUGUUGAUGGAUACUGUUUACAUCGAAAUCCAACUAAAAGAAUCAUUGCCUUUUCCAUAUGGUGGCCGAGUUAUUUGCUCUUCACUGCCUCAGGAUGGUAAUGAAGAUAUCGCUGGGCUUCCAUCUAGGGAAGUCUUGCUGCUUGAUUCGAAAGGUGGAAGAAUGUCUCUGACUAGUAAUGGCUACCUUAGUCUGGCAAGAUGUGUAGUUUCUGUGGAGUUAAAAGGAAAGCUGCAAGUCCUCAUAAUGGCUGAAUCACCAUCACAAAAUGCUGAGAUUGCUGCGCAAUUCCUCUUCGCACCCGAAAAAUGCAACAUAAGUAAAGGUGAAUGUUACCUCCCUGAUGGCUCUAAGGUUGAGAUUACUGUUGCUUGGUCCCUCAUUCCCUCGACGAUGCUACAGUCAGGUGACAGUCGUGAGGACAGUGGGAUGGUGACCGGAGGAUAUUCAAAGGAAAGGACUGGCGGGUCCAUGUUAAGUGAGGAGGUAUGUAAGGCUGGAAUCUUAAUGCAGGAGAGUAUCCGCUGGGUCCAGGCCCGGGAGGAGAAGAUGUUAGAGAUUGGACUUUGCAACUCCGUGGAAGACUCGAAUCUUCUGAAGUUGAAAUUUGAUAUGUUGGAGUUGUCGGAAAAGAUCUUCGGUCGGGCCGAGUACGAGACCCAUUUCAAAAUUGGCGACUACGGUAAGAUGGAAACUGGAGGGAAGCCUUUGAAGGGAAGGAGUGGCGAUGUUGAAUUGUUGAGGAUUGGUAACGAAGGCAGAAUGUUGAAGACACUGAGCAAGAUUGGUGACGGGGGCAAAUUGGUCUCCAAGCAGUUCAUGGAGCCGCUGGUCAAUUUCUCAAUGUUUGUAGCCAGAUCUGUCAGAAACAUGAUUGAGGAGGAGGUAGAGACAGAGACGGUAGGGGUGGUGCCGAUGGUCAGCUUCAAAUUACAUUUGCUCUCCAGGCAGUUUGAUGAGCUGUGGGACAACAUGGGCCAGCUAGUCUCAACAGAAGCAAAGUUUCUAGCGAUAUGCAUGCUUAUUCAUGAGCCCUUCGCAUGCUAUUGCUCCACACUAAAGUUUAUCUCUGAAGUUUUCAACCGGCUUUGUCAAUGGGUGCCAGAUUUGACAUCAGCAAUGGGAUCGAUAAGGGAACACGAGGAGAUGGAGGACGUGGAUAAGGAUAGGAAGGUUGUGAAUGAGUAUGAGGAGGAGAAGAAGGCUGAGGAGUUCUAUUUCAAUGCCCACCGUGAAAACUGGGAAUUUAGUCGCAACAACUUUGGCAGCUUUGAAGACCCAACGGUACUGAGCCCCUUGCUCUUUACCCACUACAUAGCAGGCCACACCCAACUGGGUGCUGAAGUCGGGAGGACUAUGCAGGUCUACUCUAUUAAAGUCACAGAAACAGAAGGCUAUGCCCUUGAGUGGCCGCUGAAGGUAUACGGUGUAGUCACUGCACGAGAUGUUGUUGACUAUCGUCGCAACAUUCUCUUCCUUCGCGCUAGGGAUGACUGCCAAAUCCUCACAAGAGAGGAUUCAUUUUUGCACUUGACUGGCCCUUCUCGUGCAAUUAUGUCUGGUGGCAUAUUGGAGAGCAAUGUUACUAUUGAAGUCCACCUAACACUAAAGGACACAGUGGAGUCUAAGGAUAGAACAUUGAUCAGUAAAGCCUUCAUUUAUGACGAAGAUGAUCUUGGUAGUGGUGAUGUUAUUUCUACGUGUCUUCUCCAGGGCCUUUGUUCAAUAGAGUUAUGCUGUGAGCAUCUUGAACAGUCAGUCCAAGCCACUAUCGUUGGUGCUCGUGUUGUAAAGGGCCCAUUGCGUUGUGGCAAUGGCAUCAAGGUCGUUUGCUCCGCUCUACCUGAAGGUAAAACUGAAGGCAGUGUCAAGUGCCCAUCUGGGCGUGUUUUGCUGCUUGGUUCACAAGCUGGAACAGUGCCUGUGGGUGGUUAUCUAGAUCUGUCAAGGCAAGCUGUAUCCGUAAAAUCAAGAGGAAGACUUGAAAUUCUCAUACAGGCCGAAGAAAUCAGUGGAAGUGUCGUCUUCAAAGCUGAAGACAGCAACAUAAGUCGAGGAAGAUGUCGUCUUGGUGAUUGUGAAGUGGAGAUAACUGUUGCUUGGUCCCUCCUUGUUGAAAGCCAGCAUGAUAUCUUGGUGAUGGGAUAUAUAGCGCCUUACGCAGAGAAUUAA
rnacentral:rRNA from 1 species